CCUACGGGAGGCAGCAGUAGGGAAUAUUGCUCAAUGGGGGAAACCCUGAAGCAGCAACGCCGCGUGGAGGAUGAAGGUUUUCGGAUUGUAAACCUCUUUUGUUAGAGAAGAUAAUGACGGUACCUAACGAAUAAGCACCGGCUAACUCCGUGCCAGCAGCCGCGGUAAUACGGAGGGUGCAAGCGUUACCCGGAUUCACUGGGCGUAAAGAGCGCGUAGGCGGGAUAGCAAGUCAGAUGUGAAAUGCUGUGGCUUAACCAUAGAACUGCAUUUGAAACUGUUCUUCUAGAGUAUGGGAGAGGUAGGUGGAAUUCUUGGUGUAGGGGUAAAAUCCGUAGAGAUCAAGAGGAAUACUCAUUGCGAAGGCGGCCUACUAGAACAUAACUGACGCUGAUGCGCGAAAGCGUGGGGAGCAAACAGGAUUAGAUACCCUAGUAGUC
rnacentral:rRNA from 1 species